AUAAUACUCCCUCCAUCCGGAAAUACUUGUCGGAGGAAUGGAUGUAUCUAGACGUAUUUUAAUUUUAGAUACAUCCAUUUUAAUGCAUUUCUCCGACAAGUAUUUUUGGACGGAGGAAGUAUAUA
rnacentral:pre_miRNA from 1 species